UGCGUAGGUUGUUAUUUAAGUCUGAUGUGAAAGUUUGGGGCUUAACCCCAAGACGGCAUUGGAAACUGGGUGACUUGAGUGCGAGAGAGGAGCUUGGAAUUGCUUGUGUAGAGGUGAAAUUCGUAGAUAUAAGCAAGAACACCAAAGGCGAAGGCAUGGCUCUGGCUCGUAACUGACACUGAGGCACGAGAGCGUGGGGAGCAAACA
rnacentral:rRNA from 1 species